rnacentral:rRNA from 1 species
UUAGAGAAUCUGCCCUGUACUGGGGGACAACAGAGGGAAACUUCUGCUAAUACCCCAUAUGAGCGUACCUGCGAUGGUAUUCUUGAAAGUUCCGGCGGUACAGGAUGAGUCUGCAUCUGAUUAGCUAGUUGGUGGUGUAAUGGACUACCAAGGCGACGAUCAGUAGCUGGUUUGAGAGGAUGAUCAGCCACAAUGGGACUGAGACACGGCCCAUACUCCUACGGAAGGCAGCAG